GCAAGAACAAGAUGGUUGUCAGGAGUAGUGCAGUAUUAUCAUAAGGAGACGUAUACUUGGAAAACGGAGGAGGAAUGGAGGGAAAAAGAGAGGGAGAGGAGGUCUAAGAGAGAGAGGGGAGAAGAGGGUGAGCUUGAGUCAGAUAAAAAUGGUGGAAAAGGGGAGCUGGCUUGUUAAAGAAGAACGUUAGAAAGGGUAAGCAGAGGGAGCUGAAGACAGGAGGAGAAAUGGAAGUGAAUGAGGGUGACGUAUCGGAGGUGGCAGGUGUGGUGAAGUUAUCGGAGACCGAGGUAUGCACCGAGGAUCAGGAAAAAGAUGAGUCUGGCACAGUAGGAGUUUAUGGAAAAAGUGGACUCUUGCCUUUUGGCUGAUCCAUUUGUCAUUUCACGGUGGGUGAAAGAAUUGUUGGGUAAUGUGGAAUCGGUGAGGGUAACCAGAAGUGGUCUAGUGAUAAUUGUUUGUGUUUCUGUUGGUCAGAGGGAGAAUGAGCUCGGAAUAAAAUGAAUGUGAGCAAGAAAAGUGAAUUGUUUCGUUCUCAAGAAAAGGGCACCAAUGAAAGGAGUGAUAACUGGGGUAGCAGUAAAUAUAAAAAGUUGACCAGCUGAGGGGAAAGAUUCCCGGUGUAUGUGAUUGUCGUCAUUUGAUGCAACGCAGACAGGGUGGCGAGAGUGGGGAACAGAAGAGUCAUUGUCUGUUCUUUGAGUUUUGAAUUCGAGUCUUUGCCUGACAAAGUGAAGUUAGGAUACAUAAGUUAUCCUGUAUGAGCGUAUGUGCCGAAUACAUUAAGAUGUUACAGGUGUCAAGCUAAUGGGCAUGUGGCAGCAGUGUGUAGGAGGGAGGGUCCAAGGUGUGAGAAAUGUGCAGAAGUGCAUGAAACAAAGGAAUGUGUAGCAUUGGGGAAAGUAGUGGAAUGUGUUCAUUGUAGGGGUGCCCAUGGAGCUGGGGAUCAGAAGUGUCCAGUGCAAGAGAGGCAGAUUGCGGUUUGCAAGGUUAGAGUAGUGCGAAAGUUGUCAUAUGCAGAGGCAAUGAAGAAAGUAGCAGAACAUGGCCAUCCCUGUAGCUCAGUUGGUAGAGCAUGGUGUUUGCAGCGCAUGGUGUUUGCAAUGCCAGGGUUGUGGGUUCAAUUCCCACGGGGGGCCAGCAUAAAAAAACAAAAUGUAUGAAAUGUAUUCAUUUACUACUGUAAGUCGCUCUGGAUAAGAGCAUCUGCUAAAUGACUAAAAUGUAGAAAUGGGUUAAGGGGGAGUAGUAGAGAUAUACCAGUACUGAGGGAUAGGCCAAAGAGUGAUAUAAGUUUCAGUAACAUUGGAUUUUUAGCAUUUACAGCAAUGGUUAUCAACUGUACUGCAGGGAUGGAAUGGAAGUCACAUAAAAUUGAGGUUGUGGUGGCAGCUGCAGAGAGGUAUUUGGGUGUGCGAGACUUGACAUCAGAAGAGUUACAGGGUGUGAUAGCAUGAGGUAGGAAUAAAUACAUUUAAUUAGUGGAGUAGGGGGAUGUUAAUUUAAUUUUAUAUCAUUUUGAAAUUAGUGAGUGUAGUGUUAGAUGGUAGGGUAUUUAUUUAGUACAUUUUUAUUUUCCAAGCAAAUCAUAAGGGAGUUGUACUCCAGUCUAGUAGGUGGCGGUAAUGCAACAAAUUGGAUGCCAACCGCCGUUAAACCUCAUAGAAGAAGAAAACCGGAAAAACCUUUGUUUAUUAUUUUCAAGAUGGCGGCGGGAAUGUAUUUAGAACAUUACCUUGACAGUAUAGAAAAUCUGCCGUUUGAGCUACAGAGGAAUUUCACUCUUAUGAGAGACCUGGACACACGGACAGAGGAUCUGAAAGGGCAGAUAGACUCUUUGGCUCGUGAGUACACGUCAAACACACACACCCUCUCCUCUGAGCAGAAGCUCUCCCUGCUCCGGCAGAUCCAGCAGUCAUAUGGCAAGUGUAAAGAGUUUGGAGAUGAUAAGGUCCAACUGGCCAUGCAGACCUAUGAGAUGGUGGACAAACACAUUCGCAGGCUGGACACAGACCUGGCCCGCUUUGAGGCAGACCUGAAGGAGAAAAAGAUUGAGAGCACAGACUAUGACUCAACCUCCAGUAAGGGAAUCAAGAGUGAGCUCAGGGGGCCAAAAGAGAAGAAGGUGGCUCGCACAAGGUUAAAGGUGAAGUCAGACGACGACUGCAGCCCCAAAAGCGGACAGAAGAAAGUCAAACUAACACAAGCGCCUGAGUUCACAGCCCCUACAGUGAACUUUGGGAACGGCCACCCCUCGGACGUGCUGGACAUGCCCGUGGACCCCAAUGAGCCCACCUACUGCCUGUGUCACCAAGUGUCCUACGGAGAGAUGAUCGGCUGUGACAACACAGACAGAGAAGCAAUGACAUCACGUCCUGAGAUGACGGAAUUGAAAUGAACCCCAACCCUGAUUGGGUCAACUAUUCACUAUGAUCCAAUCCUAACCUGAUAUCUGGGCACUAGAAUGUUCCUACAAAAAAUACCACAUUGACAUGAAUUUGUGCUUUUACCUAAAAGUCUGAUUUAUAAAAUAGUGUUUAGAAAUGAGCGAUGGCUUUGGAAUUUUUGGCACUUAAAUCAAAGAUGAAUUAAGUAAAACCUAAAUAAAGGCUAGUUCCUUUUGGCCCACUAGAGGGCAGUAAAGCAUUAUAAAAGUAUCUCCAGACACUAAUGGAAUACUAAGCAGAAUGUAUUGUGUUGGACUCAUUGCAGUGCUCCAUUGAGUGGUUCCACUUCGCUUGCGUGGGGCUGACGACAAAACCCAGAGGGAAAUGGUACUGUCCAAGGUGUACUCAGGAGAGGAAGAAAAAAUGAACCUAGAGACAAUCAUAACCAACAAUCAUAACGCUAGAGUUUACAAAGGAGGAUUCAGUGUUUGUAUUGGAACAUGGGGAAACCCUCCAUAAACACUAACAUGGACUCCGCAGGGUCAUGUUUAAUAGGUCACACCGUCGCAAAUUGUUUUCAAACGCAAAACCAAAAUGAGCAUUUCCUAUUGGACAAGUCCAGGGUAGCCCCUUCCCUGUAUCAGUCCAUAUUCUUCAGUUUGGUGUCUAAUGAACACGACCCCCCCCCCCAGUAUUAGGGUCCCUCCGGUCUGCCAUCCUAUAUAAUUCUCUUUGUUAAACAGAAAGAAGCAAUGAUGGACAUUUGACAGAGGUGAAGUUACAGACGUUCCCUAAUCAUGACUAUUAUGUUGCAUUUUAUUUUUGACCUUUAUUUGACGGUUGCUUUAAUGCUUUUAUAUGCAGAGUAAUAUAGGGACGUAUACCCUUAUUUUACAGCCUCUGGUUCUAUAUGGCUCUCAGCCACUCGGUUGCUUCAUGACAGACUGUAACAGCGACUUCUACUGGAUGCUUUUAUACUGAACACUAUUCAGCCCUGAUACAUGCAGAUCACUGUUCUCUUAAUUCACCCCUGGUUAUUUCCAUAUCAGACUUUUGGGGGACAGAACAUUUAUUGAUUAAGCAGAGUCAUUGAUUUAGUUGAUAGAUUUGACUCGAAUGAGAAUAUACAGAUCUAGAUGUCCUAGUUCAGAAUGCAGUCGGAAGAAACCUGGACAGAAUUUCUCUCGCACAUUCACUUAAACAGCAAUGACCUGAAUUGCAGGUUGUUUGCACAAAAGUAGUGCGCUGGAAAUGGAAUUGCUUAAAGGAAUCUAGAUGCUAACACUUUCAAAUAUAUAUGGACAUUUUGAUAGGCCCCAACUCAAAUUAUUCAACAAUGUCCUGUAUAUUUCUAUUAUGGAGGGGCAUAUCUUUGACUGGCUGUGUUUAUGAAGAGCCUUAUUGAUCAUUACUGUAAGAAUAACAAUUUAAAUGUGCUUUAAAGUAUCAGAGUUACUUGAUACUUUGCUCAGUAGGUUUUGACUGGUGCGUCAAUAUUAUUUCAAGUUAAACUAAUGAAAAUGUAUUUUGUUGCCAUUUACUUUUUGUAUUCAAAGUGUAAUUGUAAUCUUUUAAGCAAUAAAGCUUUUUAAAAAAACAUA